rnacentral:snoRNA from 1 species
GCCCCCGGGAAACCGCGGGGAGGAGAGCGCCUCGGCGAGCUGUGACCUCCCUUCGCUCCCCGGGGGCACA